rnacentral:rRNA from 1 species
GGGUCAGUAGGCUGGUCGUGCCACCGGUACGUACUGGUCUCACUGAUUCCUCCUUCCUGAAGAACCGUAAUGCCGUUAAUUUGGUGUUGCGGGGAAACAGGACUGUCACUUUGAAAAAAUUAGAGUGUUUAAAGCAAGCUAACGCUUGAAUAUAUUAGCAUGGAAUAAUGAAAUAGGACGAUCGAUCCUAUUUUGUUGGUUUCUAGGAUUGACGUA